UGUGCGUAUUGUUAUGCGUUUAUUUUUCUACAUUAGCUAGAGGUAUAGGGGGAGGGUUGAGAUCUCAUAAACAUGUUUAACCCCGCCGCAAUUUUGCGCCUGUCCCAAGUCAGGAGCCUCUGGCCUUUGUUAGUCUUGUAUGAUUUUUUAAUUUUAGUUUCUUGUGUAUAAUUCGGAGUUUAGUAUGACGUCCAUUAUCACUGUACUAAUAUACAUA
rnacentral:lncRNA from 1 species